AGACAGGGGCAUGCUUAGUACGGCGAGUGAAGCGGCAACAGCUCAAAUUUGAAAGCUGGCCCUUUUAGGGUCCGCAUUGUAAUUUGUAGAGGAUGAUUCGGCGAGGGCUCCUGCCUAAGUCCCCUGGAACGGGGCGUCAUAGAGGGUGAGAAUCCCGUAUGCGGUAGGUUGCCUUAGCCAUGUGAAUCUCCUUCGACGAGUCGAGUUGUUUGGGAAUGCAGCUCUAAAUGGGAGGUAAAUUUCUUCUAAAGCUAAAUACCGGCCAGAGACCGAUAGCGCACAAGUAGAGUGAUCGAAAGAUGAAAAGCACUUUGGAAAGAGAGUUAAAAAGUACGUGAAAUUGUUGAAAGGGAAGCGCUUGCAACCAGACUUGUCCGCAGUUGCUCAGCCGGUCUCCUGACCGGCGUACUCUUCUGCGGCCAGGCCAGCAUCAGUUCGGGCGGUCGGAUAAAGGCCUCGGGAAUGUAGCUCCUCUCGGGGAGUGUUAUAGCCCGGCGUGGAAUGCGGCCAGCCUGGACUGAAGAACUCGCUUCGGCAAGGAUGCUGGCGUAGUGUUUGUAAGCCAGCCCGUCCUCCAACAAGAAAACAAAAAAA
rnacentral:rRNA from 1 species